UACAUUGGUGCAAAAGUAAUUGCGGGUUUUGCCAUUACUUUUAAAUGGCAAAACCUGCAAUUACUUUUGCAGCAAUCUAAUAAUU
rnacentral:miRNA from 10 species